rfam:Schistosoma mansoni strain Puerto Rico chromosome 1, complete genome
GCACUGCUGAAGUGUCCCGCAAUAAGACGAAACGGCCGUCCAGUAC